CCAAUAGCGUAUAUUAAAGUUGUUGCAGUUAAAAAGCUCGUAGUUGAAUUUCGGGGUUCUACCGUCGGUCGGGCUACCAAGUCUGUACUGGUGUGUAGAAUUUCUACCUUCUGGAGAACCAUCAUGUUAUUAAUUUAGCGUGGUGGGAAACCAGGACCUUUACCUUGAAAAAAUUAGAGUGUUCAAAGCAGGCUUACGUCUGAAUACAUUAGCAUGGAAUAAUAAAAUAGGACGGUGGUCCUGUUUUGUUGGUUUCUGAAUCACCGUAAUGAUUAAUAGGGAUAGUUGGGGGCAUUAGUAUUCAGUUGUCAGAGGUGAAAUUCUUGGAUUUAUUGAAGACUAACUUCUGCGAAAGCAUUUGCCAAGGAUGUUUUCAUUAAUCAAGAACAAAAGUUAGGGGAUCGAAGACGAUCAGAUACCGUCGUAGUCUUAACCAUAAACUAUGCCGACUAGGGAUCGGACGAUGUUAAAUUUUAUUGACUCGUUCGGCGCCUUACG
rnacentral:rRNA from 1 species